rnacentral:piRNA from 1 species
UACUGUUCAGUUCCACUGUUUCAAUGUGGUC